rnacentral:rRNA from 1 species
AACGAACGCUGGCGGCAUGCCUAACACAUGCAAGUCGAACGAGAUCUUCGGGUCUAGUGGCGCACGGGUGCGUAACGCGUGGGAAUCUGCCCUUUGGUUCGGAAUAACAGUUGGAAACGACUGCUAAUACCGGAUGAUGACGAAAGUCCAAAGAUUUAUCGCCAGAGGAUGAGCCCGCGUAGGAUUAGCUAGUUGGUGUGGUAAAGGCGCACCAAGGCGACGAUCCUUAGCUGGUCUGAGAGGAUGAUCAGCCACACUGGGACUGAGACACGGCCCAGACUCAGACGGGAGGCAGCAGUGGGGAAUAUUGUACAAUGGGCGAAAGCCUGAUCCAGCAAUGCCGCGUGAGUGAUGAAGGCCUUAGGGUUGUAAAGCUCUUUUACCCGGGAUGAUAAUGACAGUACCGGGAGAAUAAGCUCCGGCUAACUCCGUGCCAGCCGCCGCCGUAACAC